rnacentral:rRNA from 1 species
UACUAUGUUACGACUUAUCUUACCUUAAUAGUAAGAGCGACGGGCGAUGUGUGCAUAUUUUAGAGCUAAAAUCAAAUCCACAAUCUUUAAAAUUUUACUAUCAAAUCCACCUUCAUUAAAAUUAUUUCAAAAUUAAAUCCGUUUAAAUAAAUUUAUUGUAAUCCAUCUCUACUUAAAUAUAAGCUACACCUUGAUCUGAUAUAAAUUUUCAUAAAAAUUAUAGAAAAUUAUUAUUCUAAUAAAAUAUUCUGAUAACGACGGUAUAUAAACUGAAAAACAAAUUUAAGUUAGGUACAUCGUGGAUUAUCAAUUAUAGGACAGAUUCCUCUGAAUAGACUAAAAUACCGCCAAAUUUUUUAAGUUUCAAGAACAUAACUACUACUACCUUAGUGUUAAAAAUUACAUUUUAAAUAAUAGGGUAUCUAAUCCUAGUUUA